rnacentral:lncRNA from 1 species
CCUUAGCAUCAAGAGUGAUGAAUUGGGAUUCAUCACCAGUCAUGUGUCUCGAGCAUCCACUGUCAAGAUAUCAUUUUCUGUUUCCUCCUUGGGAUGCUAGACACACCUGCAAGCAAAAGUCAAGUUUUUAUUUUAGGUACCCAAGCUUUCUUGGGUCCUUUUUGAUUAGUCAUAAUGGUUCCUUUUGGAACCCAUAUUUUCUUUAUAGUUGAAUUUGCAGAUUUGUUAGAGAAGCA